rnacentral:rRNA from 1 species
GGGAAAGUGGGGAUGACGUCAAAUCAUCAUGCCCUUUAUGACCUGGGCUACACACGUGCUACAAUGGCCUAUACAAAGGGUAGCGAAGCUGUGAGGUGGAGCCAAUCCCAAAAAGUAGGUCUCAGUUCGGAUUGUAGGCUGCAACUCGCCUACAUGAAGUCGGAAUCGCUAGUAAUCGCGGAUCAGCAUGCCGCGGUGAAUACGUUCCCGGGCCUU